ACGGAGGACACCGCGCAUUCCGAGCGAGCGAGCACGCUCCCGGUGCGGAUACAUCAGGUCUGACCUCAUCGGACCAAGCAGCGACGACCUUCAGUUCGACCCGCCCGUCGGAUCCGAAGGCUGCGCUAACGCAGCGACCACGACUCGGCCGUCGGGGGGGAAAAGCGAGAGCGCGGUUCCCCGAGUCGCCAUGGCGGGCGAGGAGAACGACUACGGUGCUCGCGCGUCCUCGCGCACUCCCAACCGCGUCGGCGCGCUUACCGAGGCCAACGUCAACGAGAUGAUGGCCCCCAACAGCGCCGCCAAGCUCGCCAGCUUCAAG
rnacentral:lncRNA from 1 species